CAAAGACACAUGAGUCAGGACGAAGGGACGAUUCCUCCGGACAGAGACACAUCAGGACACAUUUAAAGGGUCAAACCAGAUUCACUCUGGACAGGAAACAUGGAGCCACAUCUGCUGCAGUUCCUCCAGCCUCCACUAGAGGCUCCUGCAUGACGGCAUCAGGACCAUGUUCCUGACCCUGGUCCCUGUGGACCCUGGACCUGGACCAGACCAGGACCAGGUUCAGUUCUUUGGAGCGCCGCAGGUUUUCCUGCUCGGCCGAGUGGAGCCGCUCCCUCAGGGCCAAGAACUCCCUCUGAUAAAUAUCCACCACAUCUCCUGUGGGAAGAGGAACAGACGGGAGGUCAUGGGUUCGUGUUACAAUAUAUAAAACUACAUUUCCCUUCAUGAUGUCCUCAAGAACAGAUACUUUAACACAACAAGAGUUUUUUCUAUAUUUUAGUAAAUUCUGAAAGUCUCUAAAAGAGAACGUGAUAAACAUUGUUUUGUGAGAUAAAUGUUGAUCCGCUAACAUUAAAGACGUGACAUUCAUGACACUG